rnacentral:rRNA from 1 species
AGAGUUUGAUCCUGGCUCAGAUUGAACGCUGGCGGCAUGCCUUACACAUGCAAGUCGAACGGUAACAGGUUAAGCUGACGAGUGGCGAACGGGUGAGUAAUGUAUCGGAACGUGCCCAGUCGUGGGGGAUAACUGCUCGAAAGAGCAGCUAAUACCGCAUACGACCUGAGGGUGAAAGCGGGGGAUCGCAAGACCUCGCGCGAUUGGAGCGGCCGAUAUCAGAUUAGGUAGUUGGUGGGGUAAAGGCCUACCAAGCCGACGAUCUGUAGCUGGUCUGAGAGGACGACCAGCCACACUGGGACUGAGACACGGCCCAGACUCCUACGGGAGGCAGCAGUGGGGAAUUUUGGACAAUGGACGCAAGUCUGAUCCAGCCAUGCCGCGUGCGGGAAGAAGGCCUUCGGGUUGUAAACCGCUUUUGUCAGGGAAGAAACGCUCUGGGUUAAUACCUCGGGGUAAUGACGGUACCUGAAGAAUAAGCACCGGCUAACUACGUGCCAGCAGCCGCGGUAAUACGUAGGGUGCAAGCGUUAAUCGGAAUUACUGGGCGUAAAGCGUGCGCAGGCGGUUAUGCAAGACAGAGGUGAAAUCCCCGGGCUCAACCUGGGAACUGCCUUUGUGACUGCAUAGCUAGAGUACGGUAGAGGGGGAUGGAAUUCCGCGUGUAGCAGUGAAAUGCGUAGAUAUGCGGAGGAACACCGAUGGCGAAGGCAAUCCCCUGGACCUGUACUGACGCUCAUGCACGAAAGCGUGGGAGCAAACAGGAUUAGAUACCCUGGUAGUCCACGCCCUAAACGAUG